AUGGUACUAUUUUAUUUAUUUAUUUUUCCUCCUUCCUCACAGUAUUGUUCAAGGACUUUUAAAAUAAAUGUGGAACUCAAGGAUGUAAUGGCAUUGUGUAGGAAUGCAUACUUCACUGCAAUUCAUGCCCUGCUACUACAGCUGUGCAGUGUUUUGUGCAGGGCAGGUGGCAGCGGACCAAGGAGACAUGCAGUGUGGCCAGCCUGGCAGGACAGCACAGACUUGUCUCUGGAGUUCAGGGAUGUUGCAACAGACUCAUUACCAGUUAAUUUUAGUAAAGGUCAGUGUCUUGUGUGUUUACUCCCAAUAUAAAUAUAUACGUCAUUACUGCUCACUACCAAAGUGAGAAGUAUAAAAUGUUCAAAUGCUCUAAUUAAGAGUAUAAUUUUCUAGCAAUGCUUAAACAACUUCAUUACUUUUCUUUCUUUGUAGUUGGUGGAUAAUUGUGACAUUUUUCUUGGCUUUAACUGUGUGUCCCUGAAGGCGUGUUAAAGACCCCCUGUGAUUAAAAUAGUGGGACUCAUGUUGUUGAAGUGACAUUAACAGAGAUUCUUAUUAAAAUUUGGCCCCUGCUGCUUAUGGUUUCUCAAGACUAUCUUUCUUUAGCAAAUUUUGAAAUACAAUUACACGAUGCCUGACAACCAGAAAUGAUGCUAUAGCACGAAUGUUAAGUGAGAAUCAGAGAAGUAAUUAUGGACUGUCAUAACACCUGGAAAGAGAAGUGCUGCUAGAUUGUUUAAUAUUACAUUUAACAGAUCAGUGGUUUUGUUGCUGAUGUAGAUAUCUUGGCAUACCGUGAUUGUAUACAAAAUGAUCAUAUGUCCUACUAUGCUAUUUUAAUGUUUGCAAGGCAUUUACAGCAUUUAUGUGUUGUUCCCAAGAUGCUGGUGGAAACAUAAUGCAACAUCCUUUGUGCCUGCCCACCUGAACAGGAUUUUAAACAAAUAUUCAAUGUGAUACGUAUCAGAAAAAAGCAAAAAAAUGCUACUUGCCUGCAACCAGUUUGCACUUUCUCCUGAAUCAGCAGCUUGUGUUUGCCUUGUAACUUACACAAGAAUUCUGUUUUCACCUCUACUGCUUAUUUGCCUUUCCCUUUCAGGCAACUGCAAAAGACAGAAAAUGGCCUUUGUGAUAAUGCCACUGAGAUUUAGAGCAUAAAAGCAAUCUCAUUAUCAGUUUACAUCCCCAGUUGGAAAUCGGAGAUUGUUCAGCACAUCAAACAGUUGAGCAGGGGCAUGUAAUGUGCAGCCCAAGGGCCAAACGAGACCUGCUGAGUCAUAUAAUGUGGGCUCCAGCUGCCCUCUUCCUGUAACUGAAGGAUGGGGACAAAACAGCAGAACUGCUGGUUGGUGCCGCUAAUGAACUUGAACCACAGUGAAUUAUGUUCCAUCUGCAUAAUGUGUAAGGAUAAAGUACAACCAAAUAUGGUUCUGAGCACUCAUAUUAAAUGUCUAUGGUUUAUAUGCAGAUUGGAUGUAGCCCUUGGGCUCUUAGUAAGUAACCUGUGUAACCUUCAGGUCUGUGGAAGGUAAGCAACUUGCUAAUGCUGAAAUUAGUGCACAGGGUUGGAAGCUGCUGUGCAGCGUGGAUUGCUCUCUAAUAGCAACAGAAGAGGUCUAAAAGGAACCCCCAUUAGUUCAA
rnacentral:lncRNA from 1 species